rnacentral:ncRNA from 1 species
GUGUUGUACGAAAGGAGAGAAUGCUAGCACUCCCCUUGAUAAGGAUAUGAAGCUUUAAUUAGUCAGAGAAUAUGACUAUAGUUACUGUGCUUUGUCCAAGGGCAUUACAGAGUUGUCACUUCAU